AGUGAACGCUGGCGGUAGGCCUAACACAUGCAAGUCGAACGGCAGCACAGUAAGAGCUUGCUCUUACGGGUGGCGAGUGGCGGACGGGUGAGGAAUACAUCGGCAUCUACUUUUUCGUGGGGGAUAACGUAGGGAAACUUACGCUAAUACCGCAUACGACCUACGGGUGAAAGCAGGGGAUCUUCGGACCUUGCGCGAGUGAAUGAGCCGAUGUCGGAUUAGCUAGUUGGUGGGGUAAAGGCACACCAAGGCGACGAUCCGAAGCUGGUCUGAGAGGGUGAUCGGCCACACUGGAACUGAGACACGGUCCAGACUCGUACGGGAGGCAGCAGUGGGGAAUAUUGGACAAUGGGAGCAAGCCUGAUCCAGCCAUACCGCGUCGGUGAAGAAGGCCUUCGGGUUGUAAAGCCCUUUUGUUGGGAAAGAAAAGCAGCAGGUUAAUACCCCGCUGUUCUGACGGUACCCAAAGAAUAAGCACCGGCUAACUUCGUG
rnacentral:rRNA from 1 species